GAUGAACGCUAGCGGCAGGCUUAAUACAUGCAAGUCGUACGGGAUCCGAGGUAGCAAUACUUUGGUGAGAGUGGCGCACGGGUGCGUAACACGUAUGCAACCUACCUAUAACCGGGACACAACCUCGAGAAAUUGAGGCUAAUAUCCCAUAACACUGCGAGAUGGCAUCAUUUUGCAGUUAAAACUCCGGUGGUUAUAGAUGGGCAUGCGCGACAUUAGCUAGUUGGUGAGGUAACGGCCCACCAAGGCUACGAUGUCUAGGGGUUCUGAGAGGAUUAUCCCCCCACACUGGUACUGAGACACGGACCAGACUCCUACGGGAGGCAGCAGUAAGGAAUAUUGGGUCAAUGGGCGCAAGCCUGAACCAGCCAUGCCGCGUGAAGGAUGACGGCCCUAUGGGUUGUAAACUUCUUUUGUACCAGAGAAAACCUUACUCACGUGUGAGUAGCUGAUAGUAUGG
rnacentral:rRNA from 1 species